UACAGAGGGGCAAGCGUUGUUCGGAAUUACUGGGCGUAAAGGGCGCGUAGGCGGCCUGUUAAGUCGAACGUGAAAUCCCCGGGCUCAACCCGGGAACUGCGUCCGAAACUGGCAGGCUCGAAUUCGGGAGAGGGAUGCGGAAUUCCAGGUGUAGCGGUGAAAUGCGUAGAUAUCUGGAGGAACAUCGGUGGCGAAGGCGGCAUCCUGGACCGAUAUUGACGCUGAGGCGCGAAAGCCAGGGGAGCAAGCGGG
rnacentral:rRNA from 1 species